GGGCCUGUAGCUCAGUGGUAGAGCAAUUGUCUUAUACACAAUGUGUCGUAGGUUCGAUCCCUACCAGGCCCA
rnacentral:tRNA from 1 species